GACGAACGCUUGCGGCGUGCUUAACACAUGCAAGUCGAACGGAAAGGCCCUGCUUUUGUGGGGUGCUCGAGUGGCGAACGGGUGAGUAACACGUGAGUAACCUGCCCUUGACUUUGGGAUAACUUCAGGAAACUGGGGCUAAUACCGGAUAGGAGCUCCUGCUGCAUGGUGGGGGUUGGAAAGUUUCGGCGGUUGGGGAUGGACUCGCGGCUUAUCAGCUUGUUGGUGGGGUAGUGGCUUACCAAGGCUUUGACGGGUAGCCGGCCUGAGAGGGUGACCGGCCACAUUGGGACUGAGAUACGGCCCAGACUCCUACGGGAGGCAGCAGUGGGGAAUAUUGCACAAUGGGCGGAAGCCUGAUGCAGCAACGCCGCGUGCGGGAUGACGGCCUUCGGGUUGUAAACCGCUUUCGCCUGUGACGAAGCGUGAGUGACGGUAAUGGGUAAAGAAGCACCGGCUAACUACGUGCCAGCAGCCGCGGUGAUACGUAGGGUGCGAGCGUUGUCCGGAUUUAUUGGGCGUAAAGGGCUCGUAGGUGGUUGAUCGCGUCGGAAGUGUAAUCUUGGGGCUUAACCCUGAGCGUGCUUUCGAUACGGGUUGACUUGAGGAAGGUAGGGGAGAAUGGAAUUCCUGGUGGAGCGGUGGAAUGCGCAGAUAUCAGGAGGAACACCAGUGGCGAAGGCGGUUCUCUGGGCCUUUCCUGACGCUGAGGAGCGAAAGCGUGGGGAGCGAACAGGCUUAGAUACCCUGGUAGUCCACGCUGUAAACGGUGGGUACUAGGUGUGGGGUCCAUUCCACGGGUUCCGUGCCGUAGCUAACGCUUUAAGUACCCCGCCUGGGGAGUACGGCCGCAAGGCUAAAACUCAAAGGAAUUGACGGGGCCCCGCACAAGCGGCGGAGCAUGCGGAUUAAUUCGAUGCAACGCGUAGAACCUUACCUGGGUUUGACAUGGAUCGGGAGUGCUCAGAGAUGGGUGUGCCUCUUUUGGGGUCGGUUCACAGGUGGUGCAUGGCUGUCGUCAGCUCGUGUCGUGAGAUGUUGGGUUAAGUCCCGCAACGAGCGCAACCCUUGUUCACUGUUGCCAGCACGUUAUGGUGGGGACUCAGUGGAGACCGCCGGGGUCAACUCGGAGGAAGGUGGGGAUGACGUCAAGUCAUCAUGCCCCUUAUGUCCAGGGCUUCACGCAUGCUACAAUGGCUGGUACAGAGAGUGGCGAGCCUGUGAGGGUGAGCGAAUCUCGGAAAGCCGGUCUCAGUUCGGAUUGGGGUCUGCAACUCGACCUCAUGAAGUCGGAGUCACUAGUAAUCGCAGAUCAGCAACGCUGCGGUGAAUACGUUCCCGGG
rnacentral:rRNA from 1 species